rnacentral:rRNA from 1 species
GAUGAACGCUAGCGGAAGGCCUAACACAUGCAAGUCGAGCGGUAUUUGGUAGCUUGCUACUAGAGGGAGCGGCGUACGGGUGCGUAACAUGUGUGCAACCUACCCUUAUCAAGGGGAUAGCCAUUCGAAAGGAUGAUUAAUACCCUAUAAUAUAUCAGGUGGCAUCAUUUGAUAUUGAAAGCUACGGUGGAUAAGGAUGGGCACGCACAAGAUUAGCUAGUUGGUAAGGUAACGGCUUACCAAGGCGAUGAUCUUUAGGGGUCCUGAGAGGGAGAUCCCCCACACUGGGACUGAGACACGGCCCAGACUCCUACGGGAGGCAGCAGUGAGGAAUAUUGGACAAUGGGUGGGAGCCUGAUCCAGCCAUUCCGCGUGCAGGAAGAAGGUCUUAUGGAUUGUAAACUGCUUUUAUAUAGGGAUAAACCUACUCCCGAGAGGGUAGCUGAAGGUACUAUAUGAAUAAGCACCGGCUAACUCCGUGCCAGCAGCCGCGGUAAUACGUAGGGCGCAAGCGUUAUCCGGAUUUAUUGGGCGUAAAGAGCUCGUAGGCGGUUUGUCGCGUCUGCCGUGAAAGUCCGAGGCUCAACCUCGGAUCUGCGGUGGGUACGGGCAGACUAGAGUGAUGUAGGGGAGACUGGAAUUCCUGGUGUAGCGGUGAAAUGCGCAGAUAUCAGGAGGAACACCGAUGGCGAAGGCAGGUCUCUGGGCAUUUACUGACGCUGAGGAGCGAAAGCAUGGGGAGCGAACAGGAUUAGAUACCCUGGUAGUCCAUGCCGUAAACGUUGGGCACUAGGUGUGGGGGACAUUCCACGUUUUCCGCGCCGUAGCUAACGCAUUAAGUGCCCCGCCUGGGGAGUACGGCCGCAAGGCUAAAACUCAAAGGAAUUGACGGGGGCCCGCACAAGCGGCGGAGCAUGCGGAUUAAUUCGAUGCAACGCGAAGAACCUUACCAAGGCUUGACAUGUGCCAGACCGCCUCAGAGAUGGGGUUUCCCUUCGGGGCUGGUUCACAGGUGGUGCAUGGUUGUCGUCAGCUCGUGUCGUGAGAUGUUGGGUUAAGUCCCGCAACGAGCGCAACCCUCGUUCCAUGUUGCCAGCACGUAAAGGUGGGGACUCAUGGGAGACUGCCGGGGUCAACUCGGAGGAAGGUGGGGAUGACGUCAAAUCAUCAUGCCCCUUAUGUCUUGGGCUUCACGCAUGCUACAAUGGCCGGUACAAUGGGUUGCGAUACUGUGAGGUGAAGCUAAUCCCUAAAAGCCGGUCUCAGUUCGGAUUGGGGUCUGCAACUCGACCCCAUGAAGUCGGAGUCGCUAGUAAUCGCAGAUCAGCAACGCUGCGGUGAAUACGUUCCCGGGCCU